CACACAGUAAAGGAGAGCGUUGACUAAUGAACCAGAUGGGGCAAAACUUCCAUGUUCCCAAAGAGCAAUGAGAAUCAUUGAACUCCAGUGGCAAGACAAAAGUCAGAAUGACUGGCACUGGCUCAGGAUGCAGUGGAUAUGACCUUUGAUGUCUGACCAAGCUUUAAGCACUCUACAGAGCCUGCUUCAACUGCCUCCAUGGCCACUGGAACAAAUUGUUUUUAUCUGCCCAUUCCACUGGAGAAAGCCUUUAGCAAAACAAGGAGCAAGGGGUGCUUAGAAAGUGCCGAGAAUCAAAUCAGACCGUGUCAGAGCUAUCCAAAAGCGGAAUGAAGUAAUGGACAGUGGCUCCACAGAGGGCUGAAUGCAAGAGGAUGGACUCCAAGUUACAGGGUAUGAUAAGAUGGGGUUUGGGGGGAAGGAAUAGGAGUUGG
rnacentral:lncRNA from 1 species